UCCCCGUUGCCGGGGCAGUCUGACUAGAAAAAUACAACUAGCCAUAAGGGUUGCGCUCGUUGCGGGACUUAACCCAACAUCUCACGACACGAGCUGAAGACGGCCAUGCAUCACCUGUCACCACGUUCCCGAAGGCACAAUCUCCUUUCGGAGAUCUUCGUGGGAUGUCAAGUCCAGGUAAGGUUCUUCGAUUACCAUCGAAUUAAAGAACACGCUCCACCGCUUGUGCGGGUCCCCGUCAAUUCCUUUGAGUUUUAAUCUUGCGACCGUACUCCCCAGGCGGGAUGCUUAACGCGUUAGCUUCGCUACUGAACGGGUCGAGCGCCCAACAGCUAGCAUCCAUAGUUUACGGCGUGGACUAC
rnacentral:misc_RNA from 1 species